GUGAGUAAUGUCUGGGAAACUGCCUGAUGGAGGGGGAUAACUACUGGAAACGGUAGCUAAUACCGCAUAACGUCGCAAGACCAAAGAGGGGGACCUUCGGGCCUCUUGCCAUCGGAUGUGCCCAGAUGGGAUUAGCUAGUAGGUGGGGUAACGGCUCACCUAGGCGACGAUCCCUAGCUGGUCUGAGAGGAUGACCAGCCACACUGGAACUGAGACACGGUCCAGACUCCUACGGGAGGCAGCAGUGGGGAAUAUUGCACAAUGGGCGCAAGCCUGAUGCAGCCAUGCCGCGUGUAUGAAGAAGGCCUUCGGGUUGUAAAGUACUUUCAGCGGGGAGGAAGGGAGUAAAGUUAAUACCUUUGCUCAUUGACGUUACCCGCAGAAGAAGCACCGGCUAACUCCGUGCCAGCAGCCGCGGGUAAUACGGAGGGUGCAAGCGUUAAUCGGAAUUACUGGGCGUAAAGCGCACGCAGGCGGUUUGUUAAGUCAGAUGUGAAAUCCCCGGGCUCAACCUGGGAACUGCAUCUGAUACUGGCAAGGCUUGGAGUCUCGUANAGGGGGGGUAGAAUUCCAGGGUGUAGCGGGNGAAAUGCGGUAGAGAUCUGGGAGGGAAUACCGGUGGGNGAAGGCCGGCCCCCUGGACCAANGACUGACGCUCAGGUGCGGAAANCGGNGGGGAGCAAACAGGGAUUANGAUACCCCUGGUAGUCCACCGCCNUAAACGAUNUUCNACUUNGGAGGUUGNGCCCCUUGNGGCGNGGCUUCCGGGAGCUAACGCNUUAAGGNCAACCNCCNGGGGAGNUNCGGCCCGCAAGGUUAAAACUCCAAUUGAAUUGGCGG
rnacentral:rRNA from 1 species